UCGCACGUAGCUCAGGGGUAGAGCACUACCUUGACAUGGUAGGGGUCGGGGGUUCGAGACCCUCCGUGCGAACCA
rnacentral:tRNA from 1 species